rnacentral:rRNA from 1 species
UACGUAGGGUGCGAGCGUUGUCCGGAAUUAUUGGGCGUAAAGAGCUCGUAGGCGGUUUGUUGCGUCGGCCGUGAAAACCUGCAGCUUAACUGUGGGCCUGCGGCCGAUACGGGCAGACUUGAGUUCGGUAGGGGAGACUGGAAUUCCUGGUGUAGCGGUGAAAUGCGCAGAUAUCAGGAGGAACACCGGUGGCGAAGGCGGUUCUCUGGGCAUGUCCUGACGCUGAGGAGCGAAAGUGUGGGGAGCGAACAGG